GUGUUAUCGUUUGAAACCAUAAAACCACAUCCCUUCUAAGGAUGUGGUCGUAGGUUCGAAUCCUACAGGGCGUGCCA
rnacentral:tRNA from 1 species